rnacentral:rRNA from 1 species
AAUAGAUACCCCGGUAGUCCACGCCGUAAACGUUGGGUACUAGGUGUGGCGUCCCGAUCAACGGAUGCCGUGCCGAAGCUAACGCAUUAAGUACCCCGCCUGGGGAGUACGGCCGCAAGGCUAAAACUCAAAGGAAUUGACGGGUCCCCGCACAAGCGGCGGAGCAUGCGGCUUAAUUCGAUGCAACCCGAAGAACCUUACCUGGGCUUGACAUCACGGGAAAAGCCGUAGAAAUACGGUGUCCAUUAGGGCCCGUGACAGGUGGUGCAUGGCUGUCGUCAGCUCGUGUCGUGAGAUGUUGGGUUAAGUCCCGCAACGAGCGCAACCCUUGUCCUAUGUUGCCAGCACGUAAUGGUGGGGACUCAUAGGAGACUGCCGGGGACAACUCGGAGGAAGGUGAGGACGACGUCAAGUCAUCAUGCCCCUUAUGUCCAGGGCUGCACGCAUGCUACAAUGGCCAGUACAAUGGGCUGCGAACUCGCGAGAGUGAGCCAAUCCCCAAAGCUGGCCUCAGUUCGGA